rnacentral:rRNA from 1 species
AUUGAACGCUGGCGGCAGGCUUAACACAUGCAAGUCGAACGAGUGGCGGACGGGUGAGUAAUGCUUGGGAAUCUCGCUUAUGGAGGGGGAUAACUACGGAAAACUGUAGAUAAUACCGCGUACCAUCGGAUGCACCCAAGUGGGGUUAGGUAGUUGGUGAGGUAAAGGCUCACCAAGCCGCCGAUCUCUAGCUGGUCUGAGAGGAUGACGAGCCACACGGGGACGGGGACACGGCCCAGACUCCUACGGGAGGCAGCAGUGGGGAAUAUUGCGCAAUGGGGGCAACCUGACGCAGCCAUGCCGCGUGAAUGAAGAAGGCCUUCGGGUUGUAAAGUUCUUUAGGUAGCGAGGCGUUAACUACAGAAGAAGCACCGGCUAACUCCGUGCCAGCAGCCGCGGUAAUAC